GCUACUCAAAAGGGAAAGCAUAAGCCAAGAUGCUUUCUACUGCUGCAAUUUAAUUGGCCAAGUUCCUCCAACACAUGAUCAAUUAUCUCUGCAUCUUGAACAAAUGUCUUUCCUUUUUUUUUUUUUUUUCAUCCUUUCUUUUUCCUUCCAUCCCAUUGCGUCUCCAAUUCUGAAGUACGUUCGAAGUCAACAUCUGGCAGCAUCUAGUAGAUCAUCCUCCCAAGUUUCAGGAGAAAAAUUUUUUGGUAUGAGCUGGGUAUCACCCCUUUGUCUGUACAUCUCGUGUUCAAUUUCUACAACAGCAACAAGUUCCCAUUCUGUUAACAAAUCUAACAUUAUCUGCCAGGGCCUGAAGUCAUCCCAUUCACAUCUUCAUCAUCACUAUUACUGCCAUUGUCGUUAGAUGGCCGUUUCAACCUCUGGAAUAUCUCAUCAAGAGACUCGGAUGAUGAAUCAUGAGAGACGAGUUUAGUUUCCUGCAUUUGCCGUAAAGGAAGAAAUCUUUUGGCCCCUAUGUUUGCCUUAAAACUUU
rnacentral:misc_RNA from 1 species